CAUUAGUUUUAACUUUUAUUUUUUUGAAAGAGUAAUUCAUCAGCAUCAAGAAGUAAAGCUCUCUAUUUUUUUAGUCAGAAAAAAGUAGUAGUCAAUAGCUUGCAAUUACCUUCAAGAGUCAUUGCUCUUUCUCUAGCCGGCUGUAGGAAUAAACCAAAACUCCUCUAAGGACCUUUAUGUGUUACGAAAAAUUAUAGUGAUCUUCUUCUCAGAUAUGCACACAAUCAUAGUAGCUAGACUAUCCAUUAUUCAAGCUUUAGAUGAAGGCUCAUUUGAAAAGCAACACUAUUUAUCGUGAAAGAAAGUGAUCACUAUCAUAAAAAGAGAAUGAGCAUUGCUAUUUUACGAGACUGACAAUUUACGAAGCUUAUCGCGAAGUGCAGCAACCAUUAGAUUCUUAUUUGGUGGAAAACAUAAGUGGUGGGAUGCAAAAGAGAGUUUUCCGCUACGGUCACUUAAUAUUCAUAUAACCGUUCGUGAUUAAUUUGGUAUGUAAACUUUUGCUACAAGUAGCAUUAGCCAAAGAGAAAAGAGCAUUGCUAUUUCUCGAGGCUAACAAUUCACAAAGCUUAUCAUGAAGUGCUCCAACCAUUAGAUUCUUAUUUGGUGGAAAACACAACUGGUGGAUGCAAAAGAGAGUUUUCCGUUACAGUCACUUAAUAUUCAUAUAAUGGUUCGUGAUUAAUUCGAUAUGUAAACUUUCGCUACAAGUAGCAUUAGCCAAAGAGAAAGAGCAUUGUCAUUUCUCUAGACUGACAAUUCACGAAGCUUAUUACGAAGUGCUCCAACCAUUAGAUUCUUAUUUGGUGGAAAACACAGGUGAUGGGAUGCAAAAGAGAGUUUUAUGCUACAUUCACGUAAUAUUCAUAUAAUGGUUCUUGAUUAAUUCGCUAUAUAAACUUUCGCUACAAGUAACAUUAGCCAAAGAGAAAAGAGCAUUAUUAUUUCGAGAGAUUGACAAUUCAUGAAGUACUUCAACCAUUAGAUUCUUAUUUGGUGGAAAACACAAGCGGUGGGAUGCAAAAGAGAGUCUUUCGCUAAAAUCACUUAAUAUUCAUAUAAAGGUUUGUGAUUAAUUCGCUAUGUAAACUUUCGCUACAACUAGCAUUAGCCAAAGAAAAAAUAGCAUUGCCGUUUCUCGAGUGUGACAAUUCACGAAGCUUAUCACGAAGUGCUCCAACUAUUAGAUUCUUAUUUGAUGGAAAACACAAGCAGUGGGAUGCAAAAGAGAGUUUUUCGCUAGUCACUUAAUAUUCAUAUCACGGUUCGUGAUUAAUUUGCUAUGUAAAAUUUCGCUUUUAGUAGCAUUAGCCAAAGAGAAAAGAGCAUUGCUAUUUCUUGAGAUUGACAAUUCACGAAGCUUAUCACGAAGUGCUCCAACCAUUAAAUUCUUAUUUGGUAUAAACACAAGCGGUGGGAUGCAAAAGAGAGUUUUCCGCUACGGUCACUUAAUAUUCAUAUAACGGUUCGUGAUUAAUUCGCUAUGUAAACUUUCGCUACAAGCAACAUUAUCCAAAGAGAAAAGAGCAUUGCUAUUUCUUGAGACUGACAAUUCACGAAGCUUAUUACUACGAUGUCCU
rnacentral:lncRNA from 1 species